GACGAACGCUGGCGGCGUGCCUAACACAUGCAAGUCGAACGGACGAGAUUUCUUCGGAGAUCGAGUUAGUGGCGAACGGGUGAGUAACGCGUGAGCAACCUGCCUUUCAGAGGGGGACAACAGUUGGAAACGACUGCUAAUACCGCAUAACGCAUUCGAGGGGCAUCCCUUGAAUGCCAAAGAUUUAUCGCUGAAAGAUGGGCUCGCGUCUGAUUAGCUAGUUGGUGGGGUAACGGCCCACCAAGGCGACGAUCAGUAGCCGGACUGAGAGGUUGAACGGCCACAUUGGGACUGAGAUACGGCCCAG
rnacentral:rRNA from 1 species